AUUACAGAAUAAUGUACAGUUGAUGAAGGUCCACAAAAAGCUUUUGAAUGAACCAUUAUGACAUGUUUGAAACUUGAUUUGCUUUAGGGUGGGAUAUACUUUCUUUUUUUAACCUUGCGUUGGCGCAGGCAACACGCUGCAUCUUUGUUCACAUACUUGCUGCUGCACAACACAGCAUGUAGUAUUGGAGUGUUCCACUAGGGGCGCACUAAAGAACUUAGACCAGGCCAGUAACUGGUUAAUUUUGAGAUCAUGACAGAAGAAAGACAGCAGCGUUAUCAUAGACAGUAUUAAAAUCCUCUAAACCAGAGACAGAGUCACCAUGAUUACUCUCUUGCUUGUUUUGUCAACUCCACCUACUGGUUACUCGUAUGUUGCACCAUUCGGACGCUUUGCUUUUAUUUUUGGGGGCACGCUCAAAUGACGCCUCAAAUUAAUGCAGUUCACAUGUGGCAGCCAUUUUAAACAUGCGUAGGCGUCGUUAACAGCGAGUACAUUCCAGGCCUUAGGGUGACAGCGUUGUUACUGCCUUCACUGUGACUAGUCAUUAGCUUAUCUAUCAGAUCAAUUUUCCUCCAAGUCCUUCCGGUAUUCCCUAUAACUCAUUGGUGUUUACAUCAAAAUGUGUCGUUGACCCUAUAAAACCCAGACAUAAUGACUAAUAUUGUUUGUAAUUAUUUUAAAGUGCUAAAUGUAAUUUUGGUCUAAUACUUUUUAAACACCAUUAAAAAGCCCAUCUCUGCCACUUGCUGCUUUGAAUCUGAGCCAGUCACUUUCUAAUAAUGUGAACUUGGAUAGCCUCUCCUAACCUAAUAAGUUUUUAUGAAAAAGAAGGUUUCAAAUGUUGACGAAAAUGUUUAGACUUUUGUUUUGCAAUUGGGCAGCUCCAUUUAAAACAGGUGAGACAUUAGCUAUUCGCUUUCCACACAAACCAACUUCCAAUUGUCAUAAAAGGUUAUUUUUAAUUGACAAUGGCUAUUUGUUUUUGUAAAAAAAAAAAGAUUAAAGAGAUUCAUCAAGAUAAUAAGAAACUACUCUGUAAAUGGUUGUGUUUCUAGAAUAGACUCUGAAAUCUGAUAUUUAAAAUCCUCCCUGUACCUUUUCUCCUCGUGUUUACUCUACUUUAGGGAAUAAUCUGAGUCUUAAUUUCCCUCUGGUCUGAAUAAAGUAUCUUUGAAUUUGAAUUUGAAUUUAUUCAGUGAUAGUAAAGUUGGUUUAAAUUACCUUCAGCAGAAGCACACAUAAGACUGAAACCUGGUGGUGCGUUUGUCUCUGACAAAUAAUUGUAAUAAUUCUCACAAAUAUAAUAACUGGGCAGAUAAAAAAUUUUUCUUACACUUUAUGCGUGAUUCAUGGAAUUAAAGCCACAAACCAGCGAGACUGAGCAAACCUCUGUCUGGCUGUAUAUUAGCAGUGUCGUGACUCUGGUGAGAUGAAGCUGAAAGUGAUUAAUGUUCUGUUCGACUUCACUUCCUGCAGUGAUAGGGAUAGUGUUGCCUGGCAACUGCUUGCGGCCUUUCGUUGACUGUGUUUGCUCCGCGGCAAAACUGGGUUGGCCUCAUGUUCUCUAGUUCUUUACCUUCCAGCUCAGAUGGGGCUCACGGAGCAAAAAUGAUAUCUUGCUAUCUACUAAUUAGAUUUCUGGAGAUCCAUUUGUACUUUGUGAGCUGAGAAACUUGCAUAAACCUCAGUUUAAUUAUUGUUUUUAGAAAAAUGGGCUGCAGUUUGACCUUCCAUGCAAAAGUAAUUUAUUAUGUAUUUGUUUAACUUUGAAAAUGCCAAAUCGGUUCAAAUGCUUGAGUCUUUUGUAGAGUUCCACCUGCCCGAUCUAGUUACAAGGUAAACAAACCCUCCUGUCUCGUCUCACAGCUGAACAGAAACCUGUAAUCAGCCAGACUCCCUUCUUGCAGCAAACAUCACAGCUUCAACUGGAACUGCACCAAAGAACUAAAUAUGCAGAGGCAAGAAGAAGCAGAAACUCAGAAUGAAGAAAAAAAACAGAAGCACCAUCCUUUGUUUUGCCGUCUGGACUGCGCCUGGUUUCCAUGACAACCCUUACAGUUUUGUGUUUGAUCAGAUGUGCGUGGACGACAAGGUCACUCAACAACUGUAUCUUCAGGAAGAAACCAACAUGGGCAGCACAUGCUUUCACAAAGGAGAAGCCAGUUGUAAUCUCAUCUAUGUCUUCUCCCAUCGCUUAGCAACAAGCCAAAUUUUCAGCCAUGUGUGUUUUCUUUUGAUGGCAGGCCACUACUCUAAAUUAUGGAGAAAGGGCUGCAGGUGUCACUGACAAAGGAUAUAAUCAGGAAGCCGGGCACUCAUUGUUUUCACUCACUAAUUAAAGCCAUGACCAUGCUGCAGCUACACUGUUGCAACAAUUAUUCCUGUCAGGAGAAACUGACGGCGCUCAUUGCAUGUCUAUUUUAAGUUGCAUUUAGGUGAUAUUAAAUAUGCAAUUAAUCACCCUGCAAAAGACAAACACAAGAUUAUUUUUGUUUUGUUUAUAUUCAGAUGGAUGUUGCAGGAUGAGACAUUUCCCAGGCUGUGUUGUUAAUACCUGUUAAUCUCUUCCUUGGGGCAAAGAUAAAGGAGUGGAUGCUUGUUGAUGCUGCUCAGUGGAGACAGAUGAUUCACAGCUAAUGAAGUGUAUGGGAAAAUAACAAUAAUCUUCAGUCUUUCCUAUAACAGCAUGGCCCCUGCUCUUGGCCAAUCAGACGAAGGCCCCAAGAGAUGAAGGAACGAGCUCUAAAUAGUCACUGACUCACUGCUUUGAAAACGUUUUCCUUCUUGUGUCAGAAGAAAGAAUUCAAAUAGAUUUUCAGCUGAUUAGAAAUAAAAAGAUUUGGCUGCAGAGUAACGAGCUCCCGGCAACAUGUCCUCCUGCUUUUUCCUGUUUUUAGUCUCAUGACUGUCACUUUGGAAGCAGCAAGUAGCUGACACAUGGCUCGCUUCUUUUGGCAGAAAUAAAACUUCCUGUUCCUCAUGAA